GUCUGUUUGUUUGUCCGUUUGUCCAGCUUCAAGUUAAAUCAACUUGAAACUUAGUACACAUUUUCCCUAUGGUAUGAUCUUUUUAAUUCUAAUGCCAAAUAACAGUUUCAUCCCAUUUUCACAGUCCACUAAACAUAGAAAAUGAUAGUGUAGAUGAGGAAUCCGUGUACCAGGGACACAUUCAUGUUUCUUCAAAUUUUCGUCGUAUCGCUGUCAAUUUGUGUUAAAAUUUUAACGUCGUUAUCAAUAAAUAUUUCAUUGUUUACGAGAAAUAUGCAAUUUACUAUCAUUGUCAUAAAUCCCAACUACUGUCAAUUAUAUUAUAGUUUAAAAAAAGAAAUUUAUGAAACAUAUUUAUAUCCGCCAACCGAGCCCCUAUUGAGAUCGACAAACUCAACAAAAAGCUUUCAAUACAAUUACGGAUAUUUCUUAGAAUUGACGGUCAUCCUAUAAAAGUUACGGUCGUCCUAUAUAAAUUACAGUCAGUCUUUACAAAUUACG
rnacentral:lncRNA from 1 species